CAUGCAAGUCGAGCGGUAGCACAGAGAGCUUGCUCUCGGGUGACGAGCGGCGGACGGGUGAGUAAUGUCUGGGAAACUGCCUGAUGGAGGGGGAUAACUACUGGAAACGGUAGCUAAUACCGCAUAACGUCGCAAGACCAAAGUGGGGGACCUUCGGGCCUCAUGCCAUCAGAUGUGCCCAGAUGGGAUUAGCUAGUAGGUGGGGUAAUGGCUCACCUAGGCGACGAUCCCUAGCUGGUCUGAGAGGAUGACCAGCCACACUGGAACUGAGACACGGUCCAGACUCCUACGGGAGGCAGCAGUGGGGAAUAUUGCACAAUGGGCGCAAGCCUGAUGCAGCCAUGCCGCGUGUAUGAAGAAGGCCUUCGGGUUGUAAAGUACUUUCAGCGAGGAGGAAGGCGUUAAGGUUAAUAACCUUAGCGAUUGACGUUACUCGCAGAAGAAGCACCGGCUAACUCCGUGCCAGCAGCCGCGGUAAUACGGAGGGUGCAAGCGUUAAUCGGAAUUACUGGGCGUAAAGCGCACGCAGGCGGUUUGUUAAGUCAGAUGUGAAAUCCCCGGGCUCAACCUGGGAACUGCAUUUGAAACUGGCAAGCUUGAGUCUUGUAGAGGGGGGUAGAAUUCCAGGUGUAGCGGUGAAAUGCGUAGAGAUCUGGAGGAAUACCGGUGGCGAAGGCGGCCCCCUGGACAAAGACUGACGCUCAGGUGCGAAAGCGU
rnacentral:rRNA from 1 species